UGGUGAGCCUUCUGCUUCUUGACAAACAAUACGAGAAGACCCCAAAAGCAGAAGAGGAGCCGCCACUCGUGCUGGCUGGCCUUGGAGAACGUUCACGAACCAGAGGGAUGCUAGCAUUCGUUUACUGCCUUGUGUCAAGUCAUGUUUAAAGAGAAAAACACUCAGCUCAUAGCUCAUAAACAUAAGCUUUAACCAAACUUUAGUCUCUUUAAGUUUUCAGAUUGGCUUGUGAGUGAAUAUCCCAGACUGGCUGAUACGUGUGGUGGCUGGAUGCUGCACAGGUCCACAGAGAUGGAAAGCAGACUCUUUGUUGGAAGGGAGGAAUCCUGAUUAUUGUGUCAACAGUCUGGACUCUAACUGCUUCAGGUUUACCACUGAGUCAACCCGACGCUCGACCAGCUCAGAGAAGUCCUGCAUGAUGAAGACUUCUGCCUGCCCCUGUGUGUUCCAGGGGGAGAUGAGGAGGCAGAUGUGAACCUGGUCCUGGAGAGGAGCCGCCCUGCCUUCAGUGG